GCAGCAUUAGUUAAGUUGGUUAGAGCAUGGUGCUGAUAGUGCCAAGGUCAUGGGUUCGAUCCCUGUGCAGGGCAGCUGCA